GAGAGAAAAAUAAAAUAUUUUACUUGGAUGGCAAAACUGAAGGAAAGAAGACAAAACACACAUGAGAAUAAGAGAGUCAAACUUUCCUCAAAAGUGUUGAAAUCAGAAGUAAAAGGAGGAGGAAUCCUGGACAAUUUGAUACUUCAGCUUGCGAUGCUUAGUCACUGGGGCUGGAUUCCGGAUGCUGCUAGCAAGCACAACCUCCUCCUCCGCCUUGCUGCAGCCACCACAGUCCCCAGAGGAUCUAGAGUCCCUGCUUCUUGCACUACUACUUCUGGAUUCAAAGCCUAGGCAGAUGUCUCCGAUGAAUGAGGCACUCCUGAUGAGGAAGUCCCCAGAUGUGGUAAAGACGGUCACAUGCUGGGCAGCCACAGGAACGACAAAUGGUCAUCUGUCCAGCACUCAUUUGGCAGCAAAACCUGACUGAACUGAUAUGAAGCACCUAGUUUAUAAAAGUAAUUUUUAAAUAUAAUAUAUGAUUAUAACUAAAUUAUAAUUUUAGUUAUUCCA